GACGUAGGGGACGAGCGUUGUCCGGAUUCAUUGGGCGUAAAGAGCUCGUAGGCGGUUCAGUAAGUCGGGUGUGAAACCUCCAGGCUCAACCUGGAGACGCCACCCGAUACUGCUGUGACUAGAGUCCAGUAGGGGAGCGUGGAAUUCCUGGUGUAGCGGUGAAAUGCGCAGAUAUCAGGAGGAACACCAGCGGCGAAGGCGGCGCUCUGGGCUGGAACUGACGCUGAGGAGCGAAAGCGUGGGGAGCGAACAGG
rnacentral:rRNA from 1 species